GUGGGGAAUAUUGGACAAUGGGCGAAAGCCUGAUCCAGCCAUGCCGCGUGUGUGAAGAAGGUCUUCGGAUUGUAAAGCACUUUAAGUUGGGAGGAAGGGCAUUAACCUAAUACGUUAGUGUUUUGACGUUACCGACAGAAUAAGCACCGGCUAACUUCGUGCCAGCAGCCGCGGUAAUACGAAGGGUGCAAGCGUUAAUCGGAAUUACUGGGCGUAAAGCGCGCGUAGGUGGUUGGUUAAGUUGGAUGUGAAAGCCCCGGGCUCAAACUGGGAACUGCAUCCAAAACUGGCGAGCUAGAGUACGGUAGAGGGUGGUGGAAUUUCCUGUGUAGCGGUGAAAUGCGUAGAUAUAGGAAGGAACACCAGUGGCGAAGGCGACCACCUGGACUGAUACUGACACUGAGGUGCGAAAGCGUGGGGAGCAAACAGGAUUAGAUACCCUAGUAGUCC
rnacentral:rRNA from 1 species